ACUUGAUCGAUAGCACAGCGGUGGUGGCGGAUGGUGGCGGUGACAGCGGUUUCAGGACGGGAUCCGGUUUCAGAAAGGAAAGUGCGCUAAUUGUGCCUUAAUUGAAGGCGGAUUCUUGGAAGAAGGCCGGUUUUCUUUUCGGACAUUAAAGUUUUAUUGUCUAAAUUUCCCCGGUCAUCUUGCAUGUCCGACGGUUAGAUAAUAAGCUUUCUUGAAUGAAAGAAUUAUCACGGUGAAUUGCCGAUUCUCGUUGA